rnacentral:rRNA from 1 species
UGAGCAAUCUGCCCUUCUCAUCGGAAUAAGCGUUGGAAACGACGUCUAAUGCCGAAUACGACCUCCUUUCGCAUGAUCGGAGGUGGAAAGCUCCGGCGGAGAAGGAUGAGCUCGCGGCCUAUCAGCUAGUUGGUGUGGGUAAUGGCCCACCAAGGCGACGACGGGUAGCCGGCCUGAGAGGGUGACCGGCCACACUGGGCUGAGACACGGCCCAGACUCCUACGGGAGCAG